AAAGCAAGAAUAACACCUUCCUUGCUCUGAUCUCUAAGCUUUUUUCAUUUUUUUUAGAUGUCCAUUCUUAUCUAAAAGAGAAGAUGCAAUGAAAGUGGACACAAACUAAUGAGAGCCCUAUCAAGUGAAGUGCGGAUGGCCUCCAACAACUGAUUUUCAGCAAGUGUUUUAUGAUAGAUGCAAUCCAUCAGAAAUUUUAUCUCUGGAAUCAAGAAAGCAUUCAGACCUAACAGUUUAUAGAUAAGAAAACUGAGGAAGAUAAAGUUUAAGUGAUUUCCUAUUGACUAGGGAGAAGAUAGAUCCAUCUUCCAUCUAGUGUCUGGGCAUCUACAGAUUGGUGAGUUGUUUCCACUUGGUUGUUUCCAUCUUU
rnacentral:lncRNA from 1 species